rnacentral:misc_RNA from 1 species
CCAAUAGCGUAUAUUAAAGUUGUUGUGGUUAAAAAGCUCGUAGUUGAACCUUGGGCCUGGCUGGCCGGUCCGCCUCACCGCGUGUACUGGUCCGGCCGGGCCUUUCCCUCUGUGGAACCCCAUGCCCUUCACUGGGUGUGGCGGGGAAACAGGACUUUUACUUUGAAAAAAUUAGAGUGCUCCAGGCAGGCCUAUGCUCGAAUACAUUAGCAUGGAAUAAUAGAAUAGGACGUGUGGUUCUAUUUUGUUGGUUUCUAGGACCGCCGUAAUGAUUAAUAGGGACAGUCGGGGGCAUCAGUAUUCAAGUGUCAGAGGUGAAAUUCUUGGAUUUAUUGAAGACUAACUACUGCGAAAGCAUUUGCCAAGGAUGUUUUCAUUAAUCAGGAACGAAAGUUAGGGGAUCGAAGACGAUCAGAUAACGUCGUAGUCUUAACCAUAAACUAUGCCGACUAGGGAUCGGACGAUGUUAUUUUUUGACUCGUUCGGCACCUUACG